rnacentral:tRNA from 1 species
GUGGUUCAGUGGUAGAAUUCUUGCCUUCCAUGCAGAGAACCCAGGUUCAAUUCCUGGC